UCAGAGUGCUUGCCUAUAUAAUCUUACAGGCUUCCGCAUAUUGGAGAUACGCGAGGUUAUUAUGUGCAAGGCUGAAGUGCAAGGUGCUGUUUGGAAAACAUAGUCUUAAAUGCCCCUGUCGAAUGACUAGAAAUUAGUAUCAGCUUAUAUUGUCGCUGCUCUAAAUAGUAACAUAGAAUUUCAUGAUAUCGCGAGUUUGAUGCCAGCGGAAUAUUCCUGUGCAUCCCGGCACCGCGAGUGAUGGAUUACUCCAAGUUCCCGAACAAUUGAAGGGAGAAGAGGCCGGGGGUGCAUCCAGGAUUUUUCUAUGGAGAGCGUGAGGGAUCCGGCUUUCGACACAUACUUCAUACACUGCAUGAGGCCAAUGGAGGCGCUAUGUGAUGAGAGCAAUUGGAAGAGUUCUUACGGUUACAGCUGUUUCAAACGGUCUCAACGGUCACUCACAUGUGUGCAAAAUUGCAACUGCUUCUCACAUCGAAGCGUGUCUGGUGUCACUCCCUUGGACAAUCGUUCGUCGGCCAUUUCUUCUCAGGAACUGUCGUGUUCGUCACUAAGGAUGGUCUUGAUCGAGCUUUGCGGUGACUGCCUGUUUGAAGUCUCGGGGACUGCCUGGUGCAUUGGAUGAGUUGUGUGUCCGUGCAACGUGUUCCAUAUGUGUGCGUCGGCGUUAAGUGAACCAUGUAUAAUUUCUA